GGGCCCUUAGCUCAGCUGGUAGAGCAACUGACUCUUAAUCAGUGGGUCGCCGGUUCGAACCCGGCAGGGCUCACCA
rnacentral:tRNA from 1 species